rnacentral:rRNA from 1 species
CAGCAGCCGCGGGAAUACAGAGGGUGCAAGCGUUAAUCGGAAUUACUGGGCGUAAAGCGCGCGUAGGUGGUUUGUUAAGUUGGAUGUGAAAUCCCCGGGCUCAACCUGGGAACUGCAUCCAAAACUGGCAAGCUAGAGUAUGGUAGAGGGUGGUGGAAUUUCCUGUGUAGCGGUGAAAUGCGUAGAUAUAGGAAGGAACACCAGUGGCGAAGGCGACCACCUGGACUGAUACUGACACUGAGGUGCGAAAGCGUGGGGAGCAAACAGGAUUAGAGACCCGCGUAGUCCCUGUCUCUUAUAC